rnacentral:tmRNA from 1 species
GGGGACGAAACUAGCUUCGACGGGGGUCGAGGGAGUACAGAUGCCAUACCGAGGUCCUGGUUCCUCGUAAAUCCGCUGGGAAACAAAAUUAAACGCAGACAACUAUGCGUAUGUUUUGGCUGCCUAAUAAAGCAGCUUGCGCUGAGUGAGUUGCGCCUGUCAGGCUCAAUCAGAUGCGUCGCUAAUGAUGGGAUAGUUCCUGUUCUUGCCUGGGGAACAAGGGCGAAACUUAACCGGGCUGGCUUUUCAGAAGCCUUGUCUGCUGUGCUUCGGAAAGUGAGAAUGAACAACAGACUAAAUAUGUAGAGGUCUGUAAGACCGGGCUCUCGGACGCGGGUUAGACUUCUGCCGUCUCCACUA